AUGUAGGUGAACAAAUCUUGUGUGAGACAAGCUAACAAUUAAAUUAAUGUAAAGCUGACAUUACACACAGUGCAAAUUCUCUUGCUGCUUUGAUCUCUCUAACACUGUGGCAUGUCCCCUUUCUUCUACAAUCACCUUUUCUCUGUCACAGCUUUUCUGCCUGCUAAUAAGAAGUAAGGAGAGGAGUGGACAAGUGAGUGCUAG